CUCUGAUUGAAAAAUGCCCGGGCCUAAUUUUUUCCCCAGUCCGGCCCUGCAUGUGGACAUCACACCCACAGUCUGACAUUUCUACAUCCUGAUACAGCUUCCCAAAAAUUCCAGCAGCUUCCUUUUAACUAACCAAAAUGUAAGGAAUUUAAAUAAGAGAAAAUGGAAUGACUGCUUCAGCUCCCUAACAACCUACAAUGUAAAAGAUAUAAGAUAUUAUACCGCAAUAUUUCGGCAAAGGAUGAAACACUAACAGUUUUUAUUCACAAAAUGCAAACCGUUUGCAAAAUAAGUCCAAAUGGGAAAAAAAAGAAAAAUCUGAUCUGUAAAAAUUCUCUGAGCCAGUCAUAGCUUGACUAUUUAACCUUAGUUUUGCCAUUCAUACUUUACAAGGGACACUAUAGGCACCCAGAUCACUUCAUCUCACUGAAACGGUUUGGGUGCAGUGUCCUUAUCCCCCUUCGUCCUGCAAUGU